UGCAGGCUUUGGGUAAUUGAGCACGGCAACGGUCGUGUUAGGAAGGUCCAUGCUCGCACGGGCUGCGAUGCCCGUAGUGUUUGUGCUCGCUGAAAAAAUAAGGCGGGGCACCGGCUUGCCCGGUGACGGCGGAAAAACGGGCUACGGUUUUACUAUGCCUCAGUAUUCCUGAAAAGUGCCACAGUGACGAAGCGUUAAGGGAAACCUUAACGGUGGAACGCGGUAAACCCCUCAAGCGGUAAACCCAAACUACGGUAGGGGAGCUUUGGAUAGCGAAUUGAAGCGAUUCCAGGGGAGCGCAUCUUGCGCUGAGAUAGAUGAUUACCACGGUUCGGUCUUGCCUGAGGACCGGACUUUGACAAAACAUGGCCUACAGAAGUCUGCAUCCA
rnacentral:RNase_P_RNA from 3 species